GAUGCCAACGCGCUCCAAUAAUGCAGAGAGUUUGUAUUGAAGUCUCUGAUGGAGACAUAACAUAUGAUCCUAUAAUUUAGAUUCGGAGAGUGACAAUUUGUGAGAAUAUAAAAUAGUGUUUAUAUUUCUUCUUCUUCUUCUUCGAAGCCUAUCAUCUUUUUUAAGUGCAUUUUUUAUUUUAGUUUUUAUCGAUUAUAUAAAUAGAUUAUCCAAAAUUUGUCAGUCUUACUCUCCCAAACAUAUAUUCCAUCAACACCACAUUGUUAACCUUAAAUGAUGAUGGUAGUGAAAAUAAGUAAUAAAUUAGGAAAUGUAGUAUGGAAUUACAUGCUUAAGAAAAUUAACGGAUUGUUUAUCAUCGAUUAAUAUGUUAAUAUAUCGGAAUUGUUAAUGAAAACAGUUUAUUCGUGAUAUUUUUUUUCUCACUUAUUUAUAUAAUAUUUUAUUUGAACCCAUAAAAACACUAUAGCACCAUCAAUCCUCUUUCCUCCCUCCUGUGCAACCAAAGCAAUGCUUUUUCUUUUCUUUUAAUGUUGGAAACAGCUGCAUAUGUGACAUCUCAUAUGGUUUUGUUGACAGAGAUCGAAGAGAACACACAUAAAUUCCAAGAAAACCUACUCUUCUUAACCAACAAAUUUGAUCCUGCAGGAGCUUGGAGGAGACAUGGAAACAGCACCAAGCUUCCUCUGAUCCCAGUGCUUUGGCCAUGGUGAUGCAGAAACAGCCAGUGAAGACAGGAAGGGAUGGAGUCUCGGGGAGCCACCGAUCAUUGGCUACCCCAUGCACUGAUCUGGAGUUUGUGCAAGGGGGAUGUACCAGUCUUUAAGACCUGUCCUUUCAAGUACAUCUGCUGGCUGAAGGCUACUGGUUUUGUCCUGUAAAGUUCUGAUUGAUGCUGAAACCAUUCUCACAUUCUGUUUGGUUCUCAGGAAAGAAUAGUUAUCAUAGGCAGCAAUUUUGGAUAAGAGACCCACAAAUUAAUUUCACUCGCCAGCAUCCUUCUUCUUAUUGUUGCCUUGGGAAAGGGAAUUGCGGCAUCAAACAAUGGCAGCUUAUCAACAAAUAAAUGUCUUGUACAUUAUUUAUAGUUCUUGGCUGUUGAUUUAUAGUUGUUCCACAAAUUAAUGCGAAUCAUGGAUUUCGUUGUUCU
rnacentral:lncRNA from 1 species